rnacentral:lncRNA from 11 species
CAGCCCCAAACAAAUAAGUUUUACAAGUUCUGAUGGAAUUAUAAUCAAGUCUCAUUUCAACUAAAUAAGGAGACAUAAUGCUUUCAAAUGACUGGACUUGUGAUUGUAAUAUCACUCAACAUAGAAAUAUGACCUUCCCUGGCUUCUUUCUCUUAUUGGCCUUCCUAGAGAUUUUGAAUUGGCACCGUUCCUUUUAGUUAUACCAUGGUGUGUUAAAAGAGCAGCGUUUACAGCUGAAGCAGGGAGGCCCAGAUUUCAAAGACCUUUGCAAAAGUUGAUGGGGAAGCUGCGGGCGCUUCAGUUCUUUUUGAAGGUCAAGCACAAGAGCCAAGAAUUGUGUACAGCUCUAGCUCUGAGCCAAGCGGGUUCGGCUCUCACCUUGCAUCUGAGAACGAUUCAUUAAUGGCUUUGAGCUCUUUCUUCUCCAAACAGCAAGCAGGGGCUGCUAACUUGUUUUCACCAACCCUGUUUUUCAUGGCUAUAUGGCAUACAGACAUUAAAGCGGCAGACUUUACCCCAUCUUUUUAUCUUUAUAUCAGGAAAACAUUAAUGUGCUAAAAUGCCUGCCAUAGAGGCUGGUCUUGAAAGUCAUCAAUAACAGAAGAAGGAAAUCCUAGCAUUGAAAGAAGUUUAUUUCAUAGAUGCAAACCAAGAC